UACGGAGGAUGCAAGCGUUAUCCGGAAUGAUUGGGCGUAAAGCGUCCGCAGGUGGCUGUGUAAGUCUGCUGUUAAAGAGUGAGGCUCAACCUCAUAAAAGCAGUGGAAACUACACGGCUAGAGUGCGUUCGGGGCAGAGGGAAUUCCUGGUGUAGCGGUGAAAUGCGCAGAUAUCAGGAGGAACACCGGUGGCGAAGGCGGAUCUCUGGGCCUUACCUGACGCUCAGGUGCGAAAGCUAGGGGAGCGAACAGG
rnacentral:rRNA from 1 species